GCGUGUUUAUUUCUAUGUAUGUUUCUGUAGGUCUUGUCAAAUCCCAGCUUCCGCCUGCAGUGACACCGCGGAUCUGUACUUGAUGCAUACGGACCGGCGGUGACACAUUGCGGAUCUUAGUGGAGCGGAAUCUCUUUAGUUUUUUUUCCGGAGCGGCUCUGCGCAAGUAAAGAGACGAACCGGGCCAACAUGGAUGAAGCUUUCAUUCUCUUUGAUGGAGAGAGAGCUAAAAAGGUGGGCGUGAGCUCAGUGAGUGGCGUGGCGAGCAGGUGUUGCCUAUCGGUAAUCAGAAAGGUGGGAGCAAUCUGAUCAUCUACCUUUCCCUCACCAUAAAAGCGGGGCAUUGCCAUCAGUUGUCGCCGGAUCGUCAAACAACCCAUUUGGAUCCCGCCUGCCUGCUGUCCAGCUUACCUCCUCCAUUCCCACCUGAUUCUGCAUCGCUCCUGGAAAACAGCAUUCUCGAUAUGCCAUGCAGAACUUGCUCGUUUUUACCUCCAUUCCGCCAUUCACCACCUCCACCACCUGGAUGCUCCCCGUCGGCUUUGCCUGCAGCCCGUUCUCCACCCAAUGCCGGGGCCCAGUCUAGCUUAGCUUGUAGCGUAGCUACUAUCUGUAAUCUCGUGGUUAGUAACUAGCUCCUGUUUUUAUGAGUCUGUGCCUUCUGUAGAAUCAUGUUCAUAAUCUUGUUAACACAUUGUGUUGUACGAAGUCAGUAUAUUUACGGAGUCUAUUACUUUGCUGUCCUGUCACUGCAUUACGUUGUCCGGGUUAGUACUUUGUUUAUAGUUUUGCGUCAUGUACUAACUAUUCAGCUUUACUCUUAUUGUGUUACGGUAUUUGAGUUAGUACUUUCUUUUCUUGAUUUUUCCCAGUUUAGGGUUUAGUUCUUGUAAGACCUCCAGUCCUUUAGGGGUCCUCUAGAGUUCUGUACUUCCUGUUCUGCUUGUGCAGUUUCUGUAAGUCACUUUAUUUAUUUGUAAUAAAUUAUUAUGCUGAAACUCUA